UAGCUUAUUGAAUUUUUAAUAAGUAUUUUCUGCCCGGUGAUUUUUUUAACGGCCGCGGUAUUUUGACCGUGCAAAGGUAGCAUAAUCAUUUGUUCUUUAAUUGAGGACUAGUAUGAAUGGAUUUUCGUAGAAAAAUUUGUCUCUUUUGAUUUUAUUGAAAUUUCUUUUAAAGUGAAGAAGCUUUAAUUUUUUAAAAAGACGAGAAGACCCUAUUGAGUUUUAUUUUUUAAAAAAAUUUCUUAUUUUUUGUUAAAUUUAGUUGGGGCAACUUAAGAGGAAUAUUAAUUCUCUUUUAUUUUAUUUUGAUCCAGUUUUAUUGAUAAAAAGAAUAAAUUACCAUAGGGAUAACAGCGUUAUUUAUUUAAAGAGUUCUUAUCGAUAAAUAAGAUUGCGACCUCGAUGUUGGACUAAAAUUUCCUAAUAGUGCAGAAGCUAUUAAUGGUAGGUCUGUUCGACCUUUAAAAUUUUACAUGAUCUGAGUUCAGACCGGCGUGAG
rnacentral:rRNA from 1 species